CAAUCUGCAGGCGCUUCCCCUGGCUGACCUUGCUGCGCCGCUGCCUCCUCCCGGGCGGCUCUCCACGUGCUGCCGAUCUGCUUUCGCCGCCGGUCUUCUCUGCGCACCGGCGUCGUGGGACCGCAGCAACGGCCCCGCCGCUAUUGACACGAUUCGCCUGCGGCGGUGCAGCAAGACCCGCGGCUUCUGGAAUACAUGGGGACGGCCAGGUGCCGUGACGCGCAAAACCGUCCUUUCUCCCGACCCCGUUGGGCAAGGAACUCGCCUAAACCCUGUCCCCUCAUGACUACAGGAAUAAAACUGUAUCAGCUGCCUGGCACCGUCCUGCGGCACCGUCCUGCGAGUGUUGUGGCCGUCCUACAACUGCUGGCAUUCCCCAGCUUUGGUUACUAGGGUGGUCUAGCAAUCAAAGUUAUUCGGGAGUGAGCAGCAUUUUCUUGCAGAAAAGGAAAAUAGUAAACGUAGUAAAAUCGGCAUCUAUCACCAUACAGUUGCCCAGUCAGCUGCCUGCUGUCUCUGAGAUGUGGUACACUUAAGAAAAGAUGAUGCACCAAGCGGCCUCAGCAUUGGUGGUGCCUGAGGUGCUGAUGCUGAGCCUGACGGCCUCUCCCCACAGCACCUUCCACUCUCUGGGUGGGAAUUUAAUUUGGCAAACUGGGACAAGAGAACAUACAUAAAAGGAUCGUUUCCCUUCCCUUGUGUUCUAUAGCUGGCUUCCCCAACCUGGUGCCCUUCUAAUGCAUGGAAAUGCAACCCCCAUCAUCCCCAACCAGCCCGGCCAUUGGCAGGCUUCCUGGGAGUUGUAGCCCCAUUCAUCAAGGGGGCAUCAAGUGGGGAGACUGAUGUAUAGAGGGUGCUCCAGGUUAAACCACUGAGCUAUGUACCCGUUCACUGUCUACUCUUAAGAUCACCUGAUUCCAAAGAUUAGAUCAGUGGUUUCUGGGCUGCAGAGCAAGCUUCCUGGCGCAUCUUGCCAAUAUGGCAAUUCCUUCUGCUGAAGAGCAGCCCAGGCACCUGAACUUGCUUCAAGCUCUGUGCUGUCUGGACAACAGUGAACAAGGGGCUUGCAAAGCAGGCCCUAUUAAAUACUCUGGGGAAGGCUAUUAAUCAGCAAUAAAUUCUAUUACCUGCUGUCCCAAACUAGGUAAUUCCAAUGUCCCCAAAUGAGGCAGACAGCAAUGUAUUAGAUGUACAUUCAUUUAUACCAGCAAGAAAUCAGAACAAAAGAGAUACCAUGUCUGUUCAUUAGGUAGUUGGACAAUGACUGAAUCCAUUUUUCUCUGAACACAUAAUCACCAUUUCCUUCCCCCAGCUCUACAUGUGUGUCUUGACUGGAAAACUUUAACAGAGAAAUUAAACUGGCAAAGCUGUCAAAAAAAGCUUAAUGUAUCAAAUAUCUGCAUGCCAGGUAGUUAUCAAAUGCAGAACAGUGAGACCAUUUUAAAAAAAACCCACUGGUGACUUGCUUGAUUCCUUUGACACAGCUACAGCUAUUCAGCGGGACCUAGACAGCCAUUCCUGGGAAAAGGAGGUUUUGCCCCAGGAGUAGAUGAAUAACCACCUGUUUACUAAAACACGUGUUUAUUAAGGAGAAGGCAUCAGAAUCAGAAGCAAGCCUUGCUGAAGCAAAAGUAUGGAGAGAAAUAGCCCAUAUGGAAGUGCUACAGGAGAGAAAUGGCAGGAGGAUGGUUGGGCACUUCCUGCCUGCCAACCAUCCCCUGAAAGUCCAAGGUGGGAUUAGAAGGGUGUCUUCCUGAUCCAAGAAGGCCUUGCUACAGGCACCAUGAACAAUUCUCCCCCUGCCACCUCAAUAUCCAAACUCAGAGGGGUCAUCCCAUGGGAUGCCCACAGCUCAAUGACAGAAUACCUGCUUGGCAUGGCUGAAGGUUAAGGCUGAGAAAAUUCUUGUCUGAAGCUUUAGAGAGCUGUUGCUGCCAGUCGGUGUCAACAAUACUGGCUAGAUGGUCCAAUGUCCUGACUCAGUAUAAGGCUGGUUCCUGUGUUUCUAUGAAGUUGAAUGGCGGGAGAUUCUGGACAGUAUACAGAAUGCAGUGGCUACCAGUCAAAGUCCUCCACCCACAUUACACGGGUCCGCAGCAUCCCUGCGCUGAAGCAGCAGCUGAGCUGCUCUGCAGGUGUAGCUAGUCCCCACGGCCACCGCCCUCCAUGCACUGAGGGUGGUCGGCUGCAAGGGGACCCCUGGCAUGCAAGCUGCUUCACAAAGUGAGGGGCUCCGUGCAAUCUGGAGGGCCAGCUGGAUGCCUACACAGGUUCCUCUGGAGACAAUAAUGUUCAACACGUGAUAGUUGGAGGGGGGUGCUGCCCUAUUAUGUGAUGUCUUAGACCAGCCUUCCCUAACCUGAUGGCUUUCAGAGGCAUUUGGACCAUAACUCCCAGAAUUCCCAUCCAGCAGGGCCAUGGACUGGGAAUUCUGGGUGUCGCAGGCCAACAGGUCCAGGAGCCACAAAGGUUGGGCAAGCUUGCUUUAGAUUGUUUUAAAAGGGGAUUUGGCAAAGUCCUUAAGAAUAAAACUUCUAGAUCUAGGAUCCAAGGGAGCGUGUCUCUGAGUCCCAGUUGCUGGGAAAUAACAGGGGAGACUCAGGUACACUUUUACAGAGGACAGUCCUCCGAAAAGCUGCCCUGCUCAAUUCCAGUCUGAAAAUAAAAAUGAGGACCUGUUGCCUAUCCACCAUUAGCAGCCAGCCAGCAGGCCACAUAAGUUUUCUAUUUUAAAUGUAAACUGAGAAAUUAGUCUUAAUUUAUAUUUUAAAUAAUCAUUUCUAAAUUUCUGUCUGUACAUGUACAUUAACACUUGAAGUUUUUCAUGCACAUAUUUGUAAAUUAUGCGUGCAAUGUCCUUAUGGAA